ensembl:rRNA 5S_rRNA 5S ribosomal RNA
UACGGCCAUACCACCCUGAAUGUGCCAAUCUCGUUUGAUUUCAGAAGCUAAGCAGGGUCGGGCCUGGUUAGUACUUAGAUGGAGAAUUUGCCGUGCUCUGGCUGUAGCUGAAU